rnacentral:rRNA from 1 species
UAACACGUGAGUAACCUGCCCCUGACUCUGGGAUAAGCCUUGGAAACGAGGUCUAAUACCGGAUACGUGACGCUCAGGCAUCUGAUGCGUCUGGAAAGAUUUAUCGGUCAGGGAUGGACUCGCGGCCUAUCAGCUUGUUGGUGGGGUAACGGCCCACCAAGGCGACGACGGGUAGCCGGCCUGAGAGGGCGACCGGCCACACUGGGACUGAGACACGGCCCAGACUCCUACGGGAGGCAGCAGUGGGGAAUAUUGCACAAUGGGCGCAAGCCUGAUGCAGCGACGCCGCGUGAGGGAUGAAGGCCUUCGGGUUGUAAACCUCUUUCAGCAGGGAAGAAGCGCAAGUGACGGUACCUGCAGAAGAAGCGCCGGCUAACUACGUGCCAGCAGCCGCGGUAAUACGUAGGGCGCAAGCGUUGUCCGGAAUUAUUGGGCGUAAAGAGCUCGUAGGCGGUUGUCGCGUCUGCUGUGAAAACUCGAGGCUCAACCUCGGGCUUGCAGUGGGUACGGGCAGACUAGAGUGCGGUAGGGGAGACUGGAAUUCCUGGUGUAGCGGUGGAAUGCGCAGAUAUCAGGAGGAACACCGAUGGCGAAGGCAGGUCUCUGGGCCGCAACUGACGUUGAGGAGCGAAAGCAUGGGGAGCGAACAGGAUUAGAUACCCUGGUAGUCCAUGCCGUAAACGUUGGGCACUAGGUGUGGGGCUCAUUCCACGAGUUCCGUGCCGCAGCAAACGCAUUAAGUGCCCCGCCUGGGGAGUACGGCCGCAAGGCUAAAACUCAAAGAAAUUGACGGGGGCCCGCACAAGCGGCGGAGCAUGCGGAUUAAUUCGAUGCAACGCGAAGAACCUUACCAAGGCUUGACAUACACCGGAAACUUCCAGAGAUGGUUGCCCCGCAAGGUCGGUGUACAGGUGGUGCAUGGUUGUCGUCAGCUCGUGUCGUGAGAUGUUGGGUUAAGUCCCGCAACGAGCGCAACCCUCGUCCUAUGUUGCCAGCGGGUCAUGCCGGGGACUCAUAGGAGACUGCCGGGGUCAACUCGGAGGAAGGUGGGGAUGACGUCAAAUCAUCAUGCCCCUUAUGUCUUGGGCUUCACGCAUGCUACAAUGGCCGGUACAAAGGGCUGCGAUACCGCGAGGUGGAGCGAAUCCCAAAAAGCCGGUCUCAGUUCGGAUUGGGGUCUGCAACUGACCCCAUGAAGUCGGAGUCGCUAGUAAUCGCAGAUCAGCAACGCUGCGGUGAAUACGUUCCCGGGCCUUGUACACACCGCCC